rnacentral:rRNA from 1 species
GACAGAGGCCUCGAGCGUUAGGCGGAAUCACUGGGCUUAAAGCGUGUGUAGGCGGGCCCGUAAGUGUCUUGUGAAAUCCCACGGCUCAACCGUGGAACUGCUGGGCAUACUGGACAUCUCGAGGCACUCAGGGGCGAGCGGAACAAGUGGUGGAGCGGUGAAAUGCGUAGAUAUCACUUGGAACGCCAAUGGUGAAGACAGCUCGCUGGGGGUGUCCUGACGCUGAGGCGCGAAAGCCAGGGGAGCGAACGGG